rnacentral:miRNA from 1 species
UUGAGUUGGCCAAAAAGUUUGUUUGGGUAUUUCUGUAAUAUCAUAUGCAAAACCCAAAUGAACUUUUUGGCCAACC